GAUACCCUAGUAAUGACUGAAAUUGACUUUUUUUUUUUUUUUUUUACUUUGCAUUCUUCCUUGUUGUGUGGUUGAUAGUCUUUGGUCUUGAGAGAGUCUUAAGGCAGAGAAUUUGUUCUCUAAUUAGAAAAAGUGAAAAAAACUGUAUUAGGUUGUGUUAGGCCAUGACUCAUUUGCAAUUGUGUUUUUGAUUUCCUCCAUAUACUAAUUAAUGUUUUUUACCUUGAGUGAUAGAUGGGUGUUCUUCCCAAGUUUCCAGCUGGCGGUCUGAAUGAGAGAAGCUCAUUGACAUUACAAAAGGUGAGUGUUCACCCCAAUGAUCUUGUGGCUCAUCUGCCUGGGAGAAGCUCAUGGGAACAUCUGGAGCUGAGAAUGAUGGAACUGUACUCAUGUAGAGCCUGUUACCUUGACAGCUGGGGAAAGUCUCAAAACGGGCCUGCUCUGGCUUCUCCAUGGCCCUUUGGUGGUGAUUAACAAAUGCUGUUGAAAGAAUUGAGGUGCUGGAGGUUUUGGUGCAGGCGGGACUUUUGGUGCGGGCUGGAUUUUUGGUAAUUCUGGCCUGAUGCUUGGUCCAACCCUUAUCUGGCUGUGGUGCCUCCAUCAACCUGACGCUCUUUAGUAACCGGUCCAAGUCUUUGUAUGGAGGCCACCAUGAGUGGCCAUCUGAGUACCAGGACCUUGCUACAGGACCGGUACUCCCUUCUCCGACGAACUCCACUAUCAGGUACAUGUUCUUUUUGUUGUUGUUUUAUUUUAGCUGGAACAACCUAAAUCCCCAUAAAGUGUAACGAUUCUUAUUACAUUUCAGUUGUUCAUAUGCAUGAUUCAGUUACCCAAAAUAAAAGUAGCAAGUCCAAA